GACGAACGCUGGCGGCGUGCUUAACACAUGCAAGUCGAACGGAAAGGCCCUGCUUUUGUGGGGUGCUCGAGUGGCGAACGGGUGAGUAACACGUGAGUAACCUGCCCUUGACUUUGGGAUAACUUCAGGAAACUGGGGCUAAUACCGGAUAGGAGCUCCUGCUGCAUGGUGGGGGUUGGAAAGUUUCGGCGGUUGGGGAUGGACUCGCGGCUUAUCAGCUUGUUGGUGGGGUAGUGGCUUACCAAGGCUUUGACGGGUAGCCGGCCUGAGAGGGUGACCGGCCACAUUGGGACUGAGAGACGGCCCAGACUCCUACGGGAGGCAGCAGUCGGGAAUAUUGCACAAUGGGCGGACGCGUGAUGCAGCAACGCCGCGUGCGGGAUGACGGCCUUCGGGGUGUAAACCGCUUUCGCCUGUGACGAAGCGUGAGUGACGGUAAUGGGUAAAGAAGCACCGGCUAACUACGUG
rnacentral:rRNA from 1 species